GUGCCGGUAGCUCAGCGGUAGAGCAUCCGACUUUUAAUCGGAUGGUCGAGGGUUCGACCCCCUCCCGGCAUACCA
rnacentral:tRNA from 1 species